UUUCUCCCAGAACCUUCGUAUCUCUUCUCUGUCUCCCUCUCUUCUUUUCGCACUCUCUCUUCUCUCCAGUAAAGAAGACGAAGAAGCUUCCUCCACGGCGCCCUGUCACCACAGCAUUCGUUGCGCGCCUCACCCAGCCGAGGAGAACCUUGUCGUGUCAGAGGGCGUCGCCGUCUUCCUCGUUCAUCAUCACCGUCGUGAGCCUCUCCCUUCCGGAAUAUUAUGGGGUGUGAGUGGUGCACUUGUGAAGGCUAAGUUCAAGAAUGGUGGAAGUGGUGCCGAGUUAUGGUUCGCUUGCAUGGUUUGACCUGUAGGCAUGUGGAUUCGAUGGUUCUUAGCUCGGCUCAACCGUCGUGGAUUAGGAAGGGCAGGGUUGUUUAAAUGGAUGCCAUUUGGAACUCUUAUUGCCAAUGUAUCAGCUGCUUGUGUAAUGGCUGCACUUUCCACCGUAAAGGAAGCAGUCAAUACCAAAGAUUGUGACACUAUUGUAAUCGGAACACAGUUAGGUCUCUUGGGGUGUUUGAGUACUGCCUCAACUUUUGCAGCUGAGUUCAAUGCAAUGAAAGAAAGCAAUCAUCCUUGGAGAGCCUAUGUGUAUGCCAUUAUCACAAUGUGUGCCUCAUUUGUCCUUGUAAUCUUGAUCUACUAUGUACCUGUUUGGGCAACGGGAUAUGACACUAGCACAUAACAAUUGGGGCAUAGCAGAAGGCAAUAUCUACUUUUGACCUUUGGACAGUGUGUUUAUUGGUGGAAAAGUCCAAGUUUGACCACAAGAUCCUUCUUAAUUUUAGAAGCAAUGAAAUUUUUCUAUAAGGAAGGACUCGAGUAUGGAGAAGUUGAGUGAUGCAAUUUACCACUUUUCUUUUAGGCUCAAUAAUUUCUAUAGAACUGUAUGCUGAUAGGACUUUGAUUAAUGUUUGAUCAGCUCUCAAAUUUUUAAUUAAUUUAGAUGAGCCAUAUCAUAAGGAGAAAAAAGAUGACAAUGGUACAUAUAUCAUUUCUGCAAAGGAAACUAUGGUCUAUGGCUAAAUGAGUUUCCAAGGUCUAAUACAGUUGCUGCCAAAGAUGAUAAGUUUAUCAUUAGAAAGAAAAUAUGCUAUUAGAAAAGAGGAAAAGGGUGACAAGAAAUUGAAGCAUAUAUUGACAAACUUGCCAAUUAGUGAUGCUCUUAGAGCUAGAUUUACAAAACCUUGGCCUUGCUU